rnacentral:rRNA from 1 species
AGAAUUUGAUCUGGUUCAGGAUGAACGCUAGCUACAAGGCUUAACACAUGCAAGUCGAGGGGCAUCAGGGAGAAAGCUUGCUUCUUGCUGGCGACCGGCGCACGGGUGAGUAACGCGUAUCCAACCUUCCCCCCAGUAGGGCAUAGCCCGGCGAAAGUCGGAUUAAUACCCUAUGUUUUCCAAUGAGGACAUCUGAGCUGGAACAAAGAUUUAUCGCUGGGGGAUGGGGAUGCGUCCGAUUAGGUUGUUGGCGGGGUAACGGCCCACCAAGCCCGCGAUCGGUAGGGGUUCUGAGAGGAAGGUCCCCCACACUGGUACUGAGACACGGACCAGACUCCUACGGGAGGCAGCAGUGAGGAAUAUUGGUCAAUGGGCGUAAGCCUGAACCAGCCAAGUAGCGUGCAGGACGACGGCCCUAUGGGUUGUAAACUGCUUUUAUGCGGGGAUAAAGUGAGGUAUGUAUACCUUUUUGUAGGUACCGCAUGAAUAAGGACCGGCUAAUUCCGUGCCAGCCGCUGC